rnacentral:rRNA from 1 species
UACGGAGGGUGCGAGCGUUGUCCGGAAUCAUUGGGCGUAAAGGGCGCGUAGGUGGCCCGGCAAGCGUGCGGUGAAAGUCGGGGGCUCAACCCCGGAUCGGCCGUGCGAACUGCGGGGCUGGAGCACUGUAGAGGCAGGCGGAAUUCCGGGUGUAGCGGUGGAAUGCGUAGAGAUCCGGAAGAACACCGGUGGCGAAGGCGAUCUGCUAGGCCGCAACUGACACUGAGGGACGAAAGCUAGGGGAGCGAAUGGG